CCUACGGGCGGCAGCAGUGGGGAAUUUUCCGCAAUGGGCGAAAGCCUGACGGAGCAAUACCGCGUGAGGGAGGAAGGCUCUUGGGUCGUAAACCUCUUUUCUGGGGGAAGAAGCAAUGACGGUACCCCAGGAAUCAGCAUCGGCUAACUCCGUGCCAGCAGCCGCGGUAAUACGGAGGAUGCAAGCGUUAUCCGGAAUGAUUGGGCGUAAAGCGUCCGCAGGUGGCAUUUCAAGUCUGCUGUCAAAGACCCCAGCUUAACUGGGGAGAGGCAGUG
rnacentral:rRNA from 1 species